rnacentral:rRNA from 1 species
AGUGAACGCUGGCGGCAGGCCUAACACAUGCAAGUCGAACGGCAGCACAGUAAGAGCUUGCUCUUAUGGGUGGCGAGUGGCGGACGGGUGAGGAAUACAUCGGAAUCUACUCUUUCGUGGGGGAUAACGUAGGGAAACUUACGCUAAUACCGCAUAUGACCUACGGGUGAAAGCGGAGGACCUUCGGGCUUCGCGCGAUUGAAUGAGCCGAUGUCGGAUUAGCUAGUUGGCGGGGUAAAGGCCCACCAAGGCGACGAUCCGUAGCUGGUCUGAGAGGAUGAUCAGCCACACUGGAACAGAGACACGGUCCAGACUCCUACGGGAGGCAGCAGUGGGGAAUAUUGGACAAUGGGCGCAAGCCUGAUCCAGCCAUGCCGCGUGGGUGAAGAAGGCCUUCGGGUUGUAAAGCCCUUUUGUUGGGAAAGAAAAGCAGUCGGUUAAUACCCGAUUGUUCUGACGGUACCCAAAGAAUAAGCACCGGCUAACUUCGUGCCAGCAGCCGCCGCGGUAA